AUGGAUGGGCUCCGAGGGGCUUGCGGGAGGGGGGCGCCAGUGUUCGGGGCCGUUUUGGCGGCUAUGCAGGAUUGGCAGGAGCUGCGAUGCUCACACUUGCCUCGCCGACCGCCAUUUCACAUCCAGCAGAGGAGGCGGGGGCAGCCGCUGAGACGGUUUUUCACAAGUAUUCCCACGAGCAUUCUGCUGAGAUGAACAAUCAGAUGACCUCGUGUGAGAUUUGGAGGAGAGAAGGAAAUGGAGAGCAUGCGUCUGCCGCUUCUGUGGUUUCUGUCGGCUUUCUCCAUAUUUACGUGCUUGUAACUCUGGCAUGACCUUUGCUCCAGUCUCUACCAGAGGGCGGUGCCUGGAUUGAAGUGGAAAAGCCCUGUUUUCCAGCCAUGACCCAGGGAGCAAGCACUGACUCCUCAGGGGAACAGGAGACCUGCCAACUAGGACCCUGGGAGCCCCCAUGCUGGCAGUGCCCUGGGUCAUCU
rnacentral:lncRNA from 1 species